ACGGUUCACGAAGAAUUUGAAGUGAUUUUUUUUCAUCCAAGUUUUGGGACUUUUCUUUGCUGAAUCUUAUGUUACACUAGUUUUCAUGUUUUCUUAUGUAGAUACGUUAUAAAUGUAUUCGUGACAUUUGGUUGAAAACUAGUACCUUGAGAGGGAUUUACAUCCGCUGCUUGUUCCCACAAAAUCGCAGCACUUUCCAACAAAAUCGAGAAGCUGCCGAAUUUCAUAUAUGAUCGUAGACCCUCAUCAAAAGAGGGUCUUACUCAAGGGUCUCACUCUAGGAUCGUA